UUUUUAUACACAUCCCGUUUAUUUUGUAGUUAAUUGUUAGAUAAGUAAGUAAUUUCGUCAAGUUUUCGUUACAGAGUAAGAUUUCGUUAUCAUCGUUACCAUAUACAGUAUUUAUAUUGGUUCAAGAGCGCAGUUUGAUAACUCAUUCAAGGGGGUUCUGUUCCUGCAGUCUUCCAGCAAUACUGGCGCGUAUGACGAUGCGGACACGAACUGCACACUACACCUUUAAACAUCUAAACAUGUCCUCCAAAAAGGUAAGUUCAGCAGAUCAGCUUAUCUUAUUCUGUAAUAUUGAUACUGGUUUGAGAAAAACUAAGAUUAAACAACGUACAUGUUUCCAGGAAAAAGGGAAAAACACUGGAAAACAAUUUCAGCCUAAGGUUUGAGAUGGCUAACUGUGUACAUUGCCUUUGUGUACUGCAAGCUGAACUUACAGAUUUAUAUGGACUUUACUUACAGGUUUCCUGUGCUGUUUUGCUCCAUUUUACAGAACAAAAUAAGGCUGAGGUAGCACCAUCCUUGUGGUUAGAGUGAAAGAAUGUGGGUAUUGAGACCAAAAUAAAUAAUGUGCCAUUCUGGACAAACAGCUGUGGACAAUACAAGCAGUCAGAGUAGCCCAUUUUCUCACACAGAUGAGGAGCAACCAGUAAGAAAAAGCAAAAAGAUGUUUUGAUGUUGCCUGAGGCACCUUAUUCACAUCAGUCAAUUUCUUCCAAUAAUGAAUCAAGAAAUCCUGGAGUGGAGAAUCAUUCUGAAAGUAGACCAAAUACAGGACAACACCACAGCAGUGGUUGGAAAAAUGCAGCAGACAAUGAGCAAACCAAGCUGACUUUCAAAAGAUGAUUCGUUAUCUGUUUCUUCAAAGGGGAGGCAGUUUGGGAGAUGGGAAAUAGGAGGAUGCUUCAGCUACACAGGGCGAAUUUCAGCAGCUCAGUUUCACACUUGCAACUAACAAUGAAUUAUAGUUAGAAGACAACGGAAAUAUUUGACAUGGGAGUCCAGCAGACAGCCAGAGACACGCACACACACGGAGCUGAAGCGCGUUUGACUGACGCGUACGGGAGAUCAGGCACGCGCACGGGAGAUCAGGCACGCGCACGGGAGCUCGCUCGCGCACGCACACACAAACACGGAGCACAGGAAAAUUACACCUGUU